rnacentral:rRNA from 1 species
AUUGAACGCUGGCGGCAGGCCUAACACAUGCAAGUCGAGCGGGGCGGCGGACGGGUGGGUAAUGCCUAGGAAUCUGCCUGGUAGUGGGGGAUAACGUACGGAAACGGGCGCUAAUACAGACUGCUCUCAAAUGAGCCUAGGUGGGAUUAGCUAGGUGGUGGGGUAAAGGCCGACCAAGGCGACGAUCCGUAACUGGUCUGAGAGGAUGAUCAGUCACACUGGAACUGAGACACGGUCCAGACUCCUACGGGAGGCAGCAGUGGGGAAUAUUGGACAAUGGGCGAAAGCCUGAUCCAGCCAUGCCGCGUGUGUGAAGAAGGUCUUCGGAUUGUAAAGCACUUUAAGUUGGGAGGCGUUACCAACAGAAUAAGCACCGGCUAACUUCGUGCCAGCAGCCGCGGUAAUAC